AGUGAACGCUGGCGGUAGGCCUAACACAUGCCAGUCGAACGGCAGCACAGUAAGAGCUUGCUCUUACGGGUGGCGAGUGGCGGACGGGUGAGGAAUACAUCGGAAUCUACUUUUUCGUGGGGGAUAACGUAGGGAAACUUACGCUAAUACCGCAUACGACCUACGGGUGAAAGCAGGGGACCUUCGGACCUUGCGCGAUUGAAUGAGCCGAUGUCGGAUUAGCUAGUUGGCGGGGUAAAGGCCCACCAAGGCGACGAUCCGUAGCUGGUCUGAGAGGAUGAUCAGCCACACUGGAACUGAGACACGGUCCAGACUCCUACGGGAGGCAGCAGUGGGGAAUAUUGGACAAUGGGCGCAAGCCUGAUCCAGCCAUACCGCGUGGGUGAAGAAGGCCUUCGGGUUGUAAAGCCCUUUUGUUGGGAAAGAAAAGCAGCAGGUUAAUACCCCGCUGUUCUGACGGUACCCAAAGAAAGCACCGGCUAACCUCGUG
rnacentral:rRNA from 1 species